UAGUGAAAUUGAAAUAACAGUGAAGAUGCUGUUUAAGAAUUCUAAGACGAGAAGACCCCAUUGAGCUUUACUAUUAACUUGUAUUGCCAGAGCAAAAAGGGAACCCAAAAGGUUCCCGGGCGAUCCUACGGAUCGGACCCCCUCGGGGUCCUUCCAACGGAUCCCUUAAGUCCCCUGUCCUUUGCUUCAUAAUAAAAUUGUGAAGACUAAGUGGAAAAAGAUAAAACAAGGGAUUAAAAAGAACGGGCCUCUGGGCCCCGACUCUCAAAAGGCCUUUUGGCUUCUUGUCCCAAUUUAUAUGAAAAACCACUCUUUUUAUUAAGAUUACUGUCUAAAACCGUACAAGUAAGAUAGUUUGGUUGGGGCGACCGCCUUCGAAAAAGUAUCGAAGGCGCACAUAAGAUUAGUCCGGAGGGGGGUCCUACGGAUCCCCCUCCCGGGGGCAAUGCCCCAAAAAAGAUUAGUUUGACUGAAAGGGCUACAACCCGAACAGGCGCCGGGGGAUCCGGG
rnacentral:rRNA from 1 species